rnacentral:rRNA from 1 species
GACGAACGCUGGCGGCGUGCCUAAUACAUGCAAGUCGAGCGCAGCGGCGGAUGGGUGAGUAACGAGUGGGUAACCUCCUCUUGAGUCUGGCAUACCAAUCGGAUACAGAUGCUGAUACCGGAUACUAAAGGAUGGAUCAGGGAGUGAUUAGCUAGUGGGUAAGGUAACGGCUUACCAAGGCGAUGAUGCGGAGCCGGGUUGAGAGACUGAUCGGCCACAUUGGGACGGAGACACGGCCCAAACGCCUACGGGAGGCAGCAGUAGGGAAUCUUCCACAAUGGACGAAAGUCUGAUGGAGCAAUGCCGCGUGAGUGAAGAAGGUUUUCGGAUCGUAAAGCUCUGUUGUUGGUGAAGCGGUAAUCAACCAGAAAGUCACGGCUAACUACGUGCCAGCAGCCGCGGUAAUAC